rnacentral:tRNA from 1 species
GGGCCCGUGGCCUAGUGGGAAGGCGCCUCCUUUGCACGGAGGAGAUCGUCGGUUCGAAUCCGACCGGGUCCACCU